CCGACGGUGAGAGGCGAAACCCUGGGGCGCAAACCGGAUUAGAUACCCGGGUAGUCCAGGGCGUAAACGCUGCAGGCUUGGUGUUGGGGGCCCUACGUGGGCGCUCAGUGCCGGAGUGAAGAUGUUAAGCCUGCCGCUUGGGGAGUAUGUCCGCAAGGAUGAAACUUAAAGGAAUUGGCGGGAGAGCACAGCAACGGGAGGAGCGUGCGGUUCAAUUGGAUUCAACGCCGUAAAACUCACCGGGAGC
rnacentral:rRNA from 1 species